UCUGUCUGUUUGUGUAGCCUACAACACGCAAGCUUUGGUCAAUUUCUGUAAGAGAAACAAUGCCACCUAUAGGCCUAGGAUAUGAAGUAACGCGUUGAGUCGUGUGGAGAUGGAUCCGUUUGGACGCAAAUAUUCUUGAUACGGUUCCAGGGAAGACAGAGGAAAAAAAGAUCGGUUUGGUAUGGGUGGACUAGCCCUUAGUCUUGAGGGUGGCA